GCUUAACACAUGCAAGUCGAACGGAAAGGCCCUGCUUUUGUGGGGUGCUCGAGUGGCGAACGGGUGAGUAACACGUGAGUAACCUGCCCUUGACUUUGGGAUAACUUCAGGAAACUGGGGCUAAUACCGGAUAGGAGCUCCUGCUGCAUGGUGGGGGUUGGAAAGUUUCGGCGGUUGGGGAUGGACUCGCGGCUUAUCAGCUUGUUGGUGGGGUAGUGGCUUACCAAGGCUUUGACGGGUAGCCGGCCUGAGAGGGUGACCGGCCACAUUGGGACUGAGAUACGGCCCAGACUCCUACGGGAGGCAGCAGUGGGGAAUAUUGCACAAUGGGCGGAAGCCUGAUGCAGCAACGCCGCGUGCGGGAUGACGGCCUUCGGGUUGUAAACCGCUUUCGCCUGUGACGAAGCGUGAGUGACGGUAAUGGGUAAAGAAGCACCGGCUAACUACGUGCCAGCAGCCGCGGUGAUACGUAGGGUGCGAGCGUUGUCCGGAUUUAUUGGGCGUAAAGGGCUCGUAGGUGGUUGAUCGCGUCGGAAGUGUAAUCUUGGGGCUUAACCCUGAGCGUGCUUUCGAUACGGGUUGACUUGAGGAAGGUAGGGGAGAAUGGAAUUCCUGGUGGAGCGGUGGAAUGCGCAGAUAUCAGGAGGAACACCAGUGGCGAAGGCGGUUCUCUGGGCCUUUCCUGACGCUGAGGAGCGAAAGCGUGGGGAGCGAACAGGCUUAGAUACCCUGGUAGUCCACGCUGUAAACGGUGGGUACUAGGUGUGGGGUCCAUUCCACGGGUUCCGUGCCGUAGCUAACGCUUUAAGUACCCCGCGUGGGGAGUACGGCCGCAAGGCUAAAACUCAAAGGAAUUGACGGGGCCCCGCACAAGCGGCGGAGCAUGCGGAUUAAUUCGAUGCAACGCGUAGAACCUUACCUGGGUUUGACAUGGAUCGGGAGUGCUCAGAGAUGGGUGUGCCUCUUUUGGGGUCGGUUCACAGGUGGUGCAUGGCUGUCGUCAGCUCGUGUCGUGAGAUGUUGGGUUAAGUCCCGCAACGAGCGCAACCCUUGUUCACUGUUGCCAGCACGUUAUGGUGGGGACUCAGUGGAGACCGCCGGGGUCAACUCGGAGGAAGGUGGGGAUGACGUCAAGUCAUCAUGCCCCUUAUGUCCAGGGCUUCACGCAUGCUACAAUGGCUGGUACAGAGAGUGGCGAGCCUGUGAGGGUGAGCGAAUCUCGGAAAGCCGGUCUCAGUUCGGAUUGGGGUUUGCAACUCGACCUCAUGAAGUCGGAGUCGCUAGUAAUCGCAGAUCAGCAACGCUGCGGUGAAUACGUUCCCGGGGCUUGUACACACCGCCCGUCAAGUCAUGAAAGUUGGUAACACCCGAAGCCGGUGGCCUAACCGUUGUGGGGGAGCCGUCGAAGGUGGGACUGGUGAUUAGGACUAAAU
rnacentral:rRNA from 1 species